GGGGUGGUAGCUCAGACCGGGAGAGCACCAGGCUGAAGACCUGGGUGUCGCUGGUUCAAAUCCGGCCCACCCCA
rnacentral:tRNA from 1 species